UUUUUUUUAAUGAAUGGAGGGCGGCGGCGACUGCUGCAGCUGGCUCAGCUGCGCGGGCUGUACCCCCUCCCAGCCUGCGAGAGGAGCUUUCCUGAAGCAUGAGGUGAAGAAAGCACAGCCUUGGUGGGAUGGUGAGAAGAAGGAGGAGCCCCCAGCCCUGGCCUGGGUGGAGCCUCUGAUGUGUAAGUAGAGUGUGAUUCCAGACUGUCUGGGAGGAAGCUACUGGAGGACCCACUGCCAAAAUCAAGAUGUAAAUCAAGAGAGCAGAUACACAGGAAUGACUACUUGGAGCUCAGGAAAACUUCCAGUAGAAGACACUGAUGAUGAAAUGACACGUGUGAGCAGUUGCAGGGUGUUGCAAACAGGAGGCUGCAUAAAUUCAAGAUGAGGAAUCCAAGACUCUGAUGGCCCGACUGACUUGCUGAAGGUCACCAGCUAGUAAGUGGCAGAGUCAGGGUUUGAACCCAUGUGGUCUGAGUCUAGAGCCUGGGCUUAGCAUCAUGCUUGCUGUCUCCUCCCAAGUGUCACUCAGUGCCUUGGUUUUGCUUGAAGAGUAUGUCAGGGAAGAAGGAAGACAGAAGGCAGAUGGCUGAGCUUCUUCCUGGUUCUUUGUGUUCAUUUAGCCUUUGGGGCACAUGUAUAGUCGAAACUUGAGGUUUAGAAAUGUAGGCAGCUGGGGUGCUUGGGUGGCUCAGUCCAUUAAGCGCCCAGCUGCAGCACAGGUCAUGAUCUCACAGUUCGUGGAUUUGAGCCCUGC